rnacentral:rRNA from 1 species
UACAGAGGUCUCAACCGUUGUUCGGAUUUAUUGGGCGUAAAGGGUGCGUAGGCGGAUGCGCAAGUCGGAUGUGAAAUUCCAGAGCUCAACUUUGGAACUGCAUUCUAUACUGCGCGACUAGAGCGCUGGAAGGGAGACUGGAAUUUACGGUGUAGCAGUGAAAUGCGUAGAUAUCGUAAGGAAGAUCAGUGGCGAAAGCGAGUCUCUGGACAGAUGCUGACGCUGAGGCACGAAGGCUAGGGGAGCAAACGGG